UACGAAGGGGGCUAGCGUUGCUCGGAAUUACUGGGCGUAAAGCGCACGUAGGCGGAUUGUUAAGUCGGGGGUGAAAGCCCGGGGCUCAACCUCGGAAUUGCCUUCGAUACUGGCUGUCUUGAGUACGGGAGAGGUGUGUGGAACUCCAAGUGUAGAGGUGAAAUUCGUAGAUAUUCGGAAGAACACCAGUGGCGAAGGCGACAACACUGGCCCGUUACUGACGCUGAGGCGCGGAAAGCGUGGGGAGCAAACAGG
rnacentral:rRNA from 1 species